rnacentral:rRNA from 1 species
AUUGAACGCUGGCGGCAGGCCUAAAACAUGAAAGUCGAGCGAGGGGCGGAGAGGUGAGUAAGGUCGGGGAAACUGCCUGAUGGCGGGGGAAAAGUCGGGGAGACGGGAGCGAAUAACGCAUACAAUCCGCGGUCGCGAGAUUGGAUUAGCUGGUAGGUGGGGUAACGGCUCACCUAGGAGACGAUCCCUAGCUGGUCUGAGAGGAUGACCAGCCACACUGGAACUGAGACACGGCCCAGACUCCUACGGGAGGCAGCAGUGGGGAAUAUUGCGCAAUGGGCGAAAGCCUGAUGCAGCCAUGCCGCGUGUGUGAAGAAGGCCUUCGGGUUGUAAAGCACUUUCAGCGGGGAGGCGUUACCUGCAGAAGAAGCACCGGCUAACUCCGUGCCAGCAGCCGCGGUAAUUC